rnacentral:misc_RNA from 1 species
AUUUGCUACUGUGCUUAAUGUUGUCGAUUGACAAAAUCUUCCUAAUGAGUCAAGUCAUAAAGUCUUAAAUUCAUUUCCUUUCCCUAUAACACAGUUUUAAGCUGUGAAAACAGCCGAAUUUUGUUUCAAAUCUCAAUAACUUGAACAGACACUUAAAUAAAUAAAUUAUGGAAUCUCAAGGAACCAAUACAUUUUUUCAUAGUUCACACAUCAUGCCAAUGUGAUAAGAACUAAAAGAAUCUUUCAA